UUUUUUUUUUUUUUUUUUUUUGGGUGGAUGACCACUUCGCAUCCUUCUCUCCUUUUUUGGUCAUUAGGUUCGGUUCGCUGGCCCCUUUCCUUUUUGUCCUUUUCGUUGGCUCUUUCUUUCUUUUCGAGUCCCCUUCAAUAAUUUCUUUUUACUACUACCAUCCCCCCCCCCCCCUUUUUUGAGCUUUUACGUUUAUAUUUUUACUCUCCUUCAUUUUGUUUUUGGAAUGUUUUUCAAAUACAAUAAAAAUUUUUAAAAAAUAUUUUAAAAAGUAAUCUAAAAAUUAGUUUAAAUUUUUAAAAAUUUAAAAAAAAAAAUUAAAAAAUAUCUCAAAAUAUAUUUUAGAAACUCUUCUACUCUUAAAUAUCUUAAAAUAUUUUUUAAAAAUAUUUCAAAACAUACUCUAAAAACUCUGCUACAGCAUAAAUUUUCAAAAAUAUCCAAAAAAAAAAAACUAAUCCAAACGAAAGCAGAGGAACAAAAGGAAAGUGUUUCGGUUUAUUAGUCACUUUACCUUCUUGUUUUAUUUGUUUACUUUUUUGGGGAGGGGGUUACAAGUCACUUUUCCUUUUUGUCAAAGCAUCCCAACCAAAUUACUCUCAGUUGGAUUGAUUGUACUUGUACGGAACAGAGAUUAGGCCGCUGCUUCCUGCCCUUUUUGGUCUCAGGCUGGGCCAGCCUGCUCUGCUCGUGUGUCAUGUAUGUUUGUCUGUGCAUCUUCUCCACUAUGUCUCUUGCAUACCCAGCGAUCAAACUUUCUGGGACGUCAGAUCCAGCUGCCUGUUUUCUGAUCAAAUUUGGACUCCUGGCGGUGGUCUUUUUUCAUUUUUCUUCUUUUUUUUUUUCUUCAAAAUUUACCUUUUACCCUUCUUUUUCAGUGAGUGAAGUGGCUUUUAUACUUGUAUCACUUAAAUCCCACAGAAUUUCGGCAUCUUUGUUAAUUUAGUAGCAACAUGUUUGGAUUGCAUUUUUCAUGGAAAAAUUACUGUAGCGAUUUGAUGUAUGUGAGGAAAAAAGGUAAUGGGGAAAUGUGAUCACGGAAAAUAACGUAAUUUUCCGAUGAAAAAUCGCAAUCCAAACAAGGAAAAUUUCACGCGACGUUAUUGCAGUAGAUUUAGCUUGUUUAGAUAGUAGAUUAUGGGGGGAUAAUCUUUUUGAAAAUAAAGUAUAGUAACACUUUUUUGAUACAAUAAAUAUAAAAUAAGAAAUUGAUUGAAAAAUCUGUUGACGAUUCAAAUAAAUAAAAUUGAAUAAAUAAUCUACUGUCCAAACAAAAUUAAAUUUGGACAAAUGGUGCGUCAAUUAUUAUAUAGCAGACAGAAUUACCGAAUGGAUUCAAAGGACAAUUAUUACGUGUUUCUGCUGUCGCACGACUAAAAGUUUUUCAUUUCUGCUUUUGUGGCCAGAUACGUUAGCAUGAUCUUAGUUUCAACAAUCAAAAGUUUGUGGCAUGAUAAUGCGCCAGUUCAUCACUACGACUAAAGCAUAAUAAUGCUCUAAAGUUUUUUACUCAAUUUCGUAGACAUUAGAUUUUCUUCAAGAAAACAUAACAUAAACAGAAGAAGUGGUUUGUUGACGCGAGACCGGAAAUCAUAUGUUUGUCCAAAUAUUGGCAUCGUUGCGGUUUGCCUUUAGCCAGUUGGAGUUACGGCACAUUUUCUCUUUUUUUUUUUGGAUUAUAUUUUCAACCCUUAGUACAAAAGAGGUAAAAUAGGACCACCUAAUAUCCAAAAACAAAAUACAUACAUGCACACGCAUACAUACUAGCCGCGUGUAAUUGACGAUUUAGACUAAUGGUCAGAGUUAUGUGAGUCAGAAUUAUGGAGGUAGAUUUGGCGAUUGACACCAGAAACUCAAAUAAUUGUGUCACUAAUUAAUCUAUUCUCUCCAUGGUAUCCGUCUGGUCCCAUAGGUCCAGUUGGGUCUCCCUAUAAUUAGAUUAGGAUAGAGUAGGAGUAAGAGUAGGGAUGACGAUUGACAAAAAAAAAUCUAUUCUCUCUCCCCCUCCCCUCUUUUUUUAUUUUAUAUCUGAACCAAUGUAUUCAAUCAGUCACACAGCCAGACAUGGAAUACAAUGGUUGGCGCUCGAGAACGAGUCGAGUUCUUCAGCUAUAUCAUAUGAAUUGAAUUGACUAAGUGGUAAAACAAGCUUUCAUUGAUUUGUUUAUGUUCGUCCUUCGUGUGUUCGUAAAUACAUUAGUUAGAAAAGAAAAAAGUAUUUCGAUACCGUCUCCGGUUGUUUGGUCACUAAUUGAUUAAAUGGUCAAGUAUGCGUAAUUGCUUCAUCAAAAGUGAUUACCAAUAUUAUGUGUUCUUGAAAAGUCGGAUGACUGGUCAGACAUAAUUGCCAGGGAUGGAUUAUUGUCAAGUAAUAUGUGAGAAUAAUUCCUCGAAUUUUAUGCACAGCUGAAGAUUCUUUCUGGGCUAAGGUCCUAAGUAAGAAAGCUAGUAUAUAUAUAUAUAUUUUUUAGGUAUAAUUCACAGGUGUCCGUAUCCAUUUGCGACUAAUCUUGUUUGAACCGGAUCGGACCCCUUCUUGUAGGGAGAAGUUCUCUCAAAAUUAUUUUUUUCAUUCCCAUGAAUUUUGAACCCGAGACCUAAGUAAGAAAGCUAGUACGAGUCUAGUAAAAGGUGAUUCAAAAUCCCGAUGAUGAAAUAUUUAAAAGCCGAAGACCCACCACCCACCCUGUAUUUGUAGCUCAAGAUGUUGAUCACCACCGCCACCACCACUUUUCAAAGGAGAAAUCCGCAUCUAAAAGCGCUGCCGGUGCUCCACCAAUAAACAAUCACACUUCUAACGUCAACCUCUCCAUCAAGCAAGCAGUCGUAUAAUAAUAGACAUUUUUAUUAUUAGUUCAUUGUCAAUGUAACAAAAUCACAUCUGGUAUCCAUUGGUCAUAUCCAUUGUCAAACACCACCACCCAUCACACCCUCUCCCGAAAAAAAAAAAGAAAAAAAAAGAAAGAUGAUGAUGAUGAUUAUCGGGUUAGUUAAAAUGUAAGAUCAAAUAAUGAUGGGACCAAAGGCGUAAAAGUCGAAAAGGCUGGCGGGCUUCAUUUUCAUGGUCAUGACUCAUGACUAAAAUAGCUAGUACAGUGGAGUGAGAUGGGAGAGUGGACUGGGGAUUGAUAGGAAAACAUAAUAGACUUUGAGGUUGUUUUCCCUGAAUAGUUGGUAAAAGUGGGGUUCAGCAUGUGCAAAUGCAUUAUUGGGGUGUUUGAAUCUGGCAGCUGCCUCUAAAUAGCAUCGCAUCUGAUGUCAAAAUCUUCCACUAAAAUUGUAAACCUAUUGGGCCCAGUAAAGGAAGGACUCGAGAAUCAAUCCCAACAAAAAGGGCCGAAACCACUUUGUUUCUUUUCGCUUUUCUCUUCCUCCGUAUGUCAAUAUCAAUAUCAAUAUGGAUGCUCUACUCCUAAAAAUAAAUAAAUUUCUUUUGUACCACUAGCUGCCUCCUCUACUCCCUCAACCUCUCAGAUUUUUCUUUUUUCUUUUGAAUCUUAUGAACCCCCCCCCCCCACCACCCACCCACAACAAAAAAAAAAAAAAAAAGGAGAUAACUACGUACAAAUAUUCUCACUCUCGAAUGUGACAUGAAUCAAGUGAAAACCAAACGAAGAAGAAAGGAAAAAACUUUCGGAUAAACAAAACAUUAUCAACAGGAGCAGGAGCAGCCAGAGUCAUCCGAAAACAUUCAUCUACUACUUACUAGUCAUGCAUUUCAAUUUUCAACCAUCCAUCUUAAAGUUUUUUUUUUUUUUCCCCUUUUAAGUUAAAUAUUCCCAAUCAACAAAGAGCAGGUGCAGUAUCCACACUUCGAGGGUUCGAUGCAUGCGUUUCUGAGGUAGCAGUGGGCUACAAGUGCAAAAUGAGGGCAGAAAGGCAAUGAUAUUACGCUUUGCAGAAAGGGUCGGUACUGGAAAAGAACUCGUCAAUGAUCCGGGCUUCAUAAAGUGCCUUCAUGGAUACAGAUUUUGGUCAUCACGGACCAGUGCGCGUGGUGGUUGGGAGGGGCCAAGGUUGCAGAAUAGCAGGAGCAGAAGCAGAAGCAUUUUCUUCUGAUUGUGUCAGUUGCUAAGUAAAGGGGGAGACAUUCAAAUAACAAGUAGACUCAGUACUCAAAAACACUCUGCUAAUUAGUCCGCCCUUGCUGCUUGGUUACCUACCAGGAUUGGACUUUGGAGCCCCGGCAUUCAUUCAUGGAACAUUUCAGUCUCAGUUCCCCGACAAUCUCAGGCUUCUAUUCCAGUAGUUGUCUCUUAUGGACUAGAGUUAAAAAGUUACAUACAUGUUCCAACUCGGACUCUGCUGCGCUUGAUGUUUAAAAGAAUAUUUCAAAGCAAAAGACAGCAUUGCAUUGCAUCCUCAUUGCCCGAAAACUUCUUCCUAAUCAUGCUUAAGUCUGGAUUAGUGGUUUAAUUUCGGCAUUGUUAUUGCUAUUGAAUAUUAUGUUCUCGUGGAAUUUACUUGACAAGAAGCACGAUGAUGUAACUAAAGUUGCAUAUAUAUAGAUAGAUAGACAGGCAUUUAUAGUGGAUGUUCUGCUAAUUUGUCACCAAGACUGUUUUUUUUUUUCGUGGUUUUGGGAGGGGGAUGAUAAGAAAGAAAGAGAAAUUACAUAAAUUAAACAGCAGUUAAGUCAUCAAGACUGGUGAAGAGGGAAGAAAGUCACAAUUAUUCAACCACAACAUACCAGAAAGCAUUUAUAACAAAACCAUAUAGCCUUCAGUCAAACAUCUACAAGUUUGACUGAGCUCUCUGUCUGAGCUUUCUUCUCAGAAUCUUCCCUGAGGCUGACUUGGGAAUGCUUCGAGAGAAAAUCACUCUAUGCAAUCUCUUAUAUGGUGUAACCUGCAAGAGUGUUAAGAGUGUAACUGAUCAAUAUCUAGAGGUGUGUUUAAUUACAAUGCAGCAACAAACCAGUGAGCAAAUUAAAGUGGCAUGUUAUCAGCUUAAUAAUGCUCUAGAGCUGCCUUGCCUGUUUUGCAACGAAAUUUUGAACUUCCCUUUCGGUUAGAGAGCUAUUAGAUGAACGAACAACAAAUGCUACAGGGAUUUCCCCAGCUUCGGCAUCUGGGAGCCUGCAAAGGAGAAUUGCCUGUAAGCUCAAGAGAACACAUUUAUCUUUCAGAAGUUAUAUAUCUUAAUGAAGAGACUCACGGUAUAACGGCAGCAUCUGAUAUCUCAGGGUGAGUUAGCAGAAGCUCUUCAAGUUCUGCUGGUGCCACCUGAGUAAAACGUAGCAAAUGGACAUUAUUUAUAAGGAAAAUCUGAUGAAAUUACGGUAUAACGGUCUCAAUGAGAAACAAAGAAUUCAACUGAGUAUUAACCACUGCUAGGCUUCUUCCGGAUCUUGCAAGAAUGCAUGUAAAAACUCAUUCAUUCAAGAGGGCCGAUUUCAAGGUUUCAGUCAGUGAACUGGGCCGAUUUUGUUGAAGCUUUAUAUGUAGAACAUCAUUCAUAACUACUAAAAACAUGAUCUAACAGCAAUACUCCUUGGCGAUUGUAAGUUGAGUAUAACACAAACAUGGGUCCAAUUAAUGACACGAGUUAAAUAAUAAACCUGGAAGCCUUUAUACUUGAUAAGCUCUUUGAUCCUGUCCACGACAUAUAAUAGUCCUUUGUCAUCAAAAUAGCCAAGAUCUCCAGUGUGCACCCAGCCCUGCUUAUCUAUGGUUUCAUUUGUGGCUAUUUGAUUUUUGAAAUAACCUAUGCAAAGACAAGUUAAUAACUUUAGUAAUUGAACUGUCCAUGGACAAGGAGUAAGAAAUCCAAAUGGAGAUAAAUACCCAAAGCAUGUUUUAAAUUUAGUCGAGGUUAUGCACUUACACUACCAGCAAUCUUUUUGGAGUUAUAAUCAAAUGCAAAAUCAAGAAGCGGAUACUAUAGGUUAAAAUCGUUUUCUGUGAGGUUUGAGUGCUGUCGAGAAUUAGCCCAUUAAUAAUUUAGUCUGAGACCUGAUAGAGUGGGAUAUUGGGACCUUUCAAGUGCUUGGGGACUUCAUCUUCUUUCUUAUGGUUCUACUGCUUAUUGGUUCAAGUUUUACCUCUAGCUUUCUGGAUAAUAAGUUAAAGCAAUUUCACUGAUCCGGAAGAUCUGUGAGCAGCAAUACGUAACAUUUCCUGUUUAUCGUUAGCAUUAAUUUCUGCUUAUAACGACAAGUUCCACGGACAAAAUCCCAGCAGAUUGAGCACAAAAGCUACAAAUUUGAGGAUAGCUGCAGCAAGUCUAAUCUGGUGAACUGGAGGCUAUAUAUUGUCGUAAAGCAGUUCUGAAUUCUCAAUCACUAGCAUGUCAUUCCAGAAACAAGGAAUAUCUGGAGGACAGCCAUAAGCGCUAUAUCUAAUGCCAAAUCCAUUAUACAACUCAGUUAAAAGACCAUUUUGCAAAAACACCAUAUAGUUCAAGAACACUAACUAAUAUCUGCAAUGGUUUAAGCAAGCAAAAAUAUAAUACCCAAACUGGACAACAAAACGGAGUUACACAUUCUUUUUAUAAUCUGCUGUGACCAGAGUUUCACCUUUGAAUGUAAAGUCUACCUUGCAUCAUAUUCUGUCCACGAACCAAAAUCUGCCCCUUUUGGAAAGGUGGAAGAGGUUCUGCAGUAUCCACAUCCAGUAUUUUGCAUUCCACUGCAGGAACAAGAACUCCAGUUGAACCAGAAUGGGGAGGUCCUGUCUUUACAUCCUCUCUUGAAAUAAUUCCACAUGUUUCCGUCAUCCCAUAGCCCUGCCAGACGUUAACAUUUCUACCGUGUUUCAGGUCCACUUACUAAAUACUUAAGUUUGCUGAAUCUUGGCAUGCGAAUUACUAAUCAUUACCUAUUGCUCAAGACAAAGAAAUUAGAAUUUCUGGUUCUUAUGAGUAGUAAGUAGUAAUUCAAUGCCAGUUCAAAACGUUAGCAGAGUGACUCAUAGUCCAAGUUAGAAAGGUUUUUGAACCGAACUCCUAAAAAAAUCACCUGAACAAUCACAGCUUGAGGGAAAUUCUUGGCACAUUCCUCAAUCACAUCUUUCCCCAAAGGUGCAGCCCCACAUGCAAUUUCCCUCAAUGAUGAGCAGUCAUACUUACUCACCACCUUUUUCUGCUUCCCCAGAGCUACCACCACUGGUGGCACAGCAUACAUGUGUGUCACUUUAUACUUCUCAACAGCAUGCAAUGCUUUCUCCAUCUCAUACCUUUCCAUCACUACCACCGUAUUCCCUUUCUGCAGCUGUGCAUAUACAGCCACAGACAAUCCAAAUAUAUGAAACAUGGGAAGGAAGCAUAAAUAUACGUUCUUGGAGUUACCAUAACAUUCUUGAUCUCGUGUCACCAUUGAUGCUGUGGCAAUGAAGUUUCUGUGUGUCAAAACAACUCCCUUACUUUUACCCGUUGUCCCGGAUGAAUACAGAAGAGCUGCAACAUCAGUUUGUACAGCUGAUGACCACGGUGAAUCGGACGAUGCAGGGGAUGUUGAAUUAAUCAAAUCUGAGUAAUGACAAAACAGAGUACUGUAAGAAUCAGCCGCAUCAAAUGAUCCCUUAGGACUUAGUAGAAUACAAGGUAGAUUGAAGUGUUUGAUCUUGUGAUGCAGUUCAUUGACAGUGAUGAUAAGUUUUGGAUUGGAGUCAUUGACUUGGUUUGAUAGCUCAUUGAUGGUAUACAGUGGGUUGACAGUGGUGGCGAUGGCACCAAUGCCGACAACAGCAAGGAAUGAUAUGGGGAAAAGAACUGAAUUUGGGGAGAAAAUGAGAACAACAUCGUUCUUGUUGAUGUUAAGCUUAAGGAGGGCAUGCGAGAGCUUGGAAACUUGGGUUAGGAGAUCAAAGAAGGUGAAGGAUUCAGCAGUGGCGGCAUCAAUUAGUGCAGUGCUUUGAGAAAGGGAUGGGAAGUUCCUGAAGAGAAAUGGGACCAUAGAGAGGUUGGGGUCUUCUGGAAGGACAACGGGUGGCUUUUGGGACCUGUAGAUCCCAUCUUUGCCGUAGAAUGGCGUUGUCAUUGCGGCAGUGAUUUGGGAUUCUUGAAUCUCUAGAGGAAGAUGAUGAUCGGUAAUGCUUCACGACUUUGUUCUUGUUAUAAAUUAUUUAGUUAAAAAGACAAGCAACGUAUCCACUAAGAAGAUUUGAUGAAAAUGAAUAAUAACAAUAGUAAUGAUCUGCCUAGUUUUCGCCGAUCAAGCUUUGGCUGAUCCUGGAAACUGUAAAAGAGGAUCCAACAACAAAAGACGAGGGAGAAGAAACUAUUCAAGUAAUUCCAACUUAAAGAAAGACAAGAGAAUGUGAGUCCGAAAUUGGAUUAGAAAAUUUGGUGGCAUUACUAAUUAUUACAUUUCGUAAGGACGAAUUUAAAUCAGUGAUAGGGGAAGGAAAUUGUGAAGUUCUUUGUUCAGGAAUUAUGACGAGGGCUGAAGUAUUUCACGUUGCAGCCUUCAAUUAAUCAUGCACACUUCGACUCCCAAUUAGUUUAGACUUGAGAUGGCCAAUUUCGUUAGCAAGCAAGGUUCAAGACGAGGGCUCAAAGCUUGCCUACUUCUUGUCAAAAGCUGUAAUCACUUUUUGGCCGGGAUGCAGGUGGAAGGUGUGGUUUAUUAGUAAAAAUUUUGAAGUUCAUGAUUUUGGUGGUAUAAACAAUCCCUUACAUCUAGUUGAAGGAGAGGGAAAGCCUUGCUGCAGGUAGCAUAGGUUAGAGACUUUUGAAGGGAGGGAGGGAAAGAUUGUCUGAAUGUCAAAAGUAUACCAAGCUGGAAAGGGCCGUGAAUGCAUUUAGGGAUCAAAACCACGCCUUAAGUGGAACCGACUCUGAUUCCUAAAACUGGAGAACUACUGGUAAAUGGGAAAAAUACAAAAAAAAGAACCUUUUUUUUUUGGAUUAAUUCCAGUGUACCCCCUCGCGAAAUGCUUCUUCCUCACAUGCCUCCUUAAAUGCAGAAUUGGAUCGAUUCUUUUCUUUUUUUUAAAAAAAAUAAUAAUAAUUACCCCUUGUGGUACAAUAAUUUUCUCUAUAAUUUUUCCAAAUCAGGUAUAAUUGGGUUAGGCAACCCACCCUUGGGUUGAAUUUAGCAUAUGCAAUAAUACACAUGGUUUCGUGAAUUGACAAAAUUACUCCCAAGUUCUUAAUUGCUGAUUUUUUAAACUACUUGCUCUUGAUGAAAAUUUUACUAAAAUAACUUAGUUAAUUUUUUAAAAUACUUUUCCCAACUGGGGAGAUGUGGGAUUUCAAAAGUGAAGAAGGGGAAGGAAAAUUAGAGCUCAGGACCUCUAAGUUCCAUAUUGCUAAAAAUUCUAACAUUGUGUAGCUUUUUGGUUAAUCACAAUUGAAGUUUAUUUUAUUAUAUAUUAUCUUAUGGCUACAUUUUUCCGUGUUUUCCUUAUAAUUGCAAAAUGUAUCGAAAACAUAUAUAAUUUUUGAGGACAUUGUAUAAUAUAAUUUUAUAAGUGGAAAAGUUUCUACAAUAACUGUAAUUUUCACAAUUCAUUUUGAUUUAUUUUAUUAGUUUAAAAGCUUGUUCAAAACUAUAUUGUGAAAUUUUAUAUAGCAUGUGAAAGGCUUUUGGCCCUUUAUACGCUUCGUUUAUAUUAGCUAUUUUUGGAAGUAUUUUUGAAAUAUUUUACUGUAGCAGUGUAUAUGAAAAAUUUUUAUUAUAGAUGUUUUUUGAAAUAUUUGAUAUAGUGUAUGGUUAAGUACUUUUUUUUAGUUUUUUUUUGUUUGUGUAUUAAUGUAACAUUGUGUUUAAAAAACUUGUUUUUGAAAAAUAGAUCAAUCUAAACGGAUAUAUAUUAUGGGAAGGAUUUUUUUAGGGUUAGUUAACCAAUUCAUGUGCGUUGAAAUUCAGCCUAAACUUGAGCUAUCGACCCAAUUAUACAUGAUUGAGAAAUUCGUAAUAGUACGGUAGAUGUAUUGAUUCAAAAAGGUAAUGUGAGAAAGAGACUUUUUGAGGUGGUUUAUUAGAAUUAGCCCUUUAAUCUUAUACGGGGACCAACCGUCUUAAACCGGGCUCUCUAAAUUGUUCCCACAUCCACCCAAUGUAAGGAAGGAAAGAAAACCGUCUUCUGGUCCACGUGGCAACCUCACUUCUCGUAUGGGAUGUGGCGUCAAAUUCCCCACCUUUCCCAUUCUUCAUCCGUCUCCCUCUCUUUCUUCCCCCUCCAGACAAGAAAUUCCCAGUUUUUCUGUAUCUCUCAAUUCCCGACGGGAGAAUCCUUCCCUCAGAUUCCUCUUCCUUUCCCUCUCUCGGUUUUUUGUUAGUGUGCAGAAUGCCCGGCGAGACAUCAGUCAUCUACUUUUCCACGCUUUCCUCAAUUUGUCUCCCCAAAGAUACAACUAUUCUUGCCUCCUCCUCUUCACUCUCCGCUCUUUCUAAAUUCCCAUCUUUUAGUAGUAAACAAUUACCUCUUCGGUCGUUCCGCUUCGUCCCAAAAGCCUCAGGUUCGGGCCACUUUCUAGGCGAUGACGCCUUUGGACACUAUCCCUGGGAAUCCUCCUCUGAUUCUGGCGACUCAUGUACGUUCUUUUUUUAUAUAUAAUUUUUUUUCCACCGGUCUGUUAUUUUGUAAUGUGUUGUACCCCUGCAACUUUUCAUCUUGAAUUAUGGAAUAGUUUGAUUCUUUAUCGGAUCAUAAAAACCCACUUUCUGCUAGUUCCGUUGUCCUUAGCGGGUCGUCGCAAUAAUAUAAAUGUGAUUUCUCGAAUCUAUUUUUAUUAGCCAUUUCUUUUCUUUUAUGCGUGUUCUUGAUUUUAUCAAUACAUCAAUUAAUAGUUUCUUCUUGGUCAGAAAUGAAGGCAAAAGGUGAAAUUUUUUGUGCCUGUAACAUCUAUCAUAUGAGUUAGUUGGAAGUAGAAUCAUUUGUUUGGCUAGUUGCUGUGCCUGGAAUAAGAUCAGAUUUAGGUUAUGUGCCCAAUCUACACUCCAGAACUCGAACACAUCGACCAUGAAAACUAUACUAUGUUAUCUCUGUGGCCUGGCGCUCUGAUGCCCUUUGAUGGUAUGGGACAGGUCCAAUUUCUGGUAAACUUUGUUGAAUGGAACUCUUUUAAAAAAAAAUUCUUUAGUUUGUUUGGAUUCUUGUUAUCAGCUCUUGAAUACGAGGAAUGGGAGAUGAAAAACUAAGUUACUGGGAGGGACAAAAAAGAAACUUUUGACAGUGGCAAAUUGGAGAGACAAAUAUUACAAAUUAGGUGGAGUUACAUUUUUAUAAUGCAAAGCACGUAGAUAGGUACUUUUCUAUCAUGAUUUGUUUCUGAUUUUUAUGGGGCAUUUGGCAUUAGGGGGGAGCUUUUCUUAUUCUGGAUUUGCAGGGGACAUUUGUUCUUCUGAUUGUUGUGGAUUUGCUGUUGGAGCAUUUGUUUCUUCUGAUUGUUGUGAAUUUUGUUACAAUUGUGGGAGAUUUGUUUCUUCUAAUUGUUGUGGAUUUUGUAAAUCUCUUGCUGUGGAUUUGCAGCCAUUCAAUGGGUUCCCGAAGAGAGAGUCACAUUAUUCACUGCUGAUGGGCUUAUUCAAAUAGGAGGAAAUCUGGUGCCACGGCGAAUUACUUCCGGUGACGUAUGUCAAUGCUUUCUGCCUUUCCUGCUUAAUUUUUUUUUCUUGGUUAAUAAGUGCAUGGUAUUGUCAGAAACCAUGUUAAUACCUUUUCUGGUGUGAUGUAUCUUUUUCUGGAAUGUGUUGUCAGAAAUACCUUUUCUGGUGUGAUGUAUCUGUUUCUGGAAUGUGUUGCAUUAUAGUAAAGCUGCCUCUUUGUACUGGCUAUCAGUUCACUGCUGAGAAAAAACUGCAGCCCCUUUUUUUUUUUUAAUUUAUUUGUUAGCCGAUUUGGGUUUAUGCCACAGUGCAUACUACUGUGCCAUGAAUGUUGAUGUGGGAAACUCAAAUCAAGCAUGGAAAAUUUAAUAAGAAACUUAUUACACUUUGGACUCUCUCUCUUUCUCUGGGCUUGUGCAGCACAAGUAUGCAUGCUUGAGAAAAAAAUCUUUUUGAAAAUCGAAUUAUUUUGCUAAUCACAUUUAUCUCUAUGCAGAAGAAGUAUGAAAAGAUUAAAACAUUACAAAGAAUCCAACGGUUUCAAGAAAGUGAUUAUAUGGAUCCUAGUCAAGGCUUGUGCUUGGGUGCUCUCUUUGAUAUUGCAGCAACAAAUGUAUGCAGUCCUCCUGACAUUUGACUUGACAACUGUCUGGUACUUUUGUUAUCGAAUUUAAGGGAAUUGAAAUUUGGUUGAUAAUAGGGACUUGACACGGGUAGAAGGCUUUGUAUUUUUGGCUUCUGUCGUUCCGUUGAGAUGCUCAGUGAUGUCGUUGAAGACACUGUGUUGGAGCAUGGUGGAGAGGUACUUUUCUUUUCACCUGCAAUAUCUCAUGAUGUUUGCAAUCUUUAGUGACAUAUUGUUUAAGGAGCUCCUCUCUUGAGUCUAAGUUUGUAUGUUUUGCAUUUAAAUAAAAAAUUUUAGCUUUAAUUUUAUUAUCUUGUGUAUCUAAUAAAAUUCUGUUUGAGAUGAGAAAACUUCACACAAUCCUUAUGUAUGCACAAAUAUGUCAUUUUAUGAGUUAAAAUUUUAAUUCUGUGCUUUUGUGGAAUAUGUCAUGGGAAUAUGAGCUACUUGAUUGGUGCAUAUAUUUAGCUGUCUUGUGACUUUUCCAGGUUUCCUUUGGAUAGGAAUGGUUACAGGAAUAUUUGAUCUAUUCUUUUGGUUUCCCAGAUUGUUGUUGGCUCUGUCUGGUUGCCGUUUUUUUUUUUUUGGGUAAAGGAAGAAUGGGGCGGGGUAGAGUUAAUGUACACCAGACUCAGGCAAGUUUGGUUCUUUUGCACUGACCAGCCACUUCCUAGAGAAAAUAAGCAAUGGAAGUCACUGAAGUAUGGCACUUGAGACAAUUUACUUGGAUUUUAGACAUCAUUAUUCAAGCUAAGGGUUUUGAAUGUGAACAAAGUGAGACGAAUGUUUGAGAGAGUUAUCCCUGAAGAUGCACAGAAGCUAAUUGUUGACAUUUAUCUUUUAGUGAAAAGGCAUUGCUAGCUAUAAUAACUGGUGCUUUUGACGUUUUGUGGAGACUUAGAUGAUGUAAGUUGAGCCAUGGUUUGCACUCUUAUGGGAUAAUAGUAUCUUAGAAUCGGCCUCUCUAAGAACUGCAAGGAAGGUAUGUAGCAGAGGUUCCUUAUACUGGUCCGGUGUAGUAAGCGAUCUAUAGUGUUUGCUGUUUGCUCUACUUUGAUUUACCCAAUGCUAGAUCUGUAUUUUCUGUAGUUUUCACACUUUGGUUCUGUGUGCCCUCGUGAAUAUAGAAAGUGACAAGGGAAAUUAUUUAGACAUUAAUAAGCUGUGAGCACUAUUACUUCACAUUUUUUAGCAUAUUUGGAAUAAGCCCAGAUGUCUAUGCAAAAUUUUUUUUUUUUUUUUGAAUCUUUUUGAAAUGUAUCUGUUUUAUACACGUUGAAAUGGAAAUACAGUUUCAUCUUCUACGCAUUCUAAUAGUGUCGAAUGCGACAUCCAGGUUGUUGCCGCAGAAAAAGCAAGCAAAGGCGGUCUGCAUGAAAAGCUAACCAUGACUGUUGCUGUACCCCUACUUUGGGGUGUUCCCCCAGCCUCAGAAACACUCCACCUUGCAGUUCGGAGUGGUGGAGGGAUUGUGGAGAAGGUAUAUUGGCAGUGGGACUUUGUGUAGAUGAAUUACUGGCUCCUCUGACCAUUGUUUGUAGUUGUACAUAAUAUCAUCUGCUUCUAUGUAUAGGACAAUUCAAGAUGUACAUUUGAUGUCAAUAUGAUUCCCCUCAUUGUUUGCAGUGAUAUUUUUAUGUUUGUCAGCGCUUCAUUUUGAUCCUUCUCAAUGCACAUCUUGAUGAUUAAGUUACUCUUAUUGCUCUUAACUGAAAAUUGCUAAUCUGGUGAAGAAUUUACAUGUAUAGAUAAAAUGAAAAAAGAAAGUCAAGUGGAAGCAAAUGAAGCGAAGAGCUCGAGUCCUUGUGUUCUUCCUCCUCGUGUUUUUUGUCGUCGAAAACAAAAAAAAUAAAAUUAAUUGAUCAGCAGAUAAAUUGUACAGGGUCAAAAGACCAAGUACAUCAGCCAGCCUACCCAACUAAAGAGUAAUAGCUAUCUGUAGAAAACACGAAAGUGGAAGUCCUGAUCCACUGCCGAAGCCCAAUUCUUUUGGGUACCAACUAGUCACGGCCUCAGGAACAGAAUGCAGAACAGCAUCUACUACCAGCACUGCACAAACAAGAACUUGUUGGAAGAUAGCCUGAUUUCCAGCUAUCUAUACAAAAGUAGCAAAUACUAAAAAUAUUUUUACUAUGUCAGAGAAAGAAUAUUCGUUCUCCAGUGUUGACUCAUCCAACUAAGUUCCAUAGCUAAAGAGUAAUAUCCCUUUAGAAUUCUAUUUUUAAGUUUUUGAUAAUAAACGGGCUUGAGUAUUUUUGGGGUGUUACCAUCUGUAACGGGUGUUGUAGUAAUCUGUCCCUGGCCCCCGGGUUGCUUUUUUUUUUUUUUCACCCUUAUCCAGAUUCAACAAUCAAACUGACCCACACGUAUUGUUAAUUAUCUUUUGUUUGAUUUGUGCAAGACAACUAACAGAAAAAAACGAAUAUUUUAUUCGGGUCUUGAGAUAUUGAUUGAUCAAAAAAGCGAUUUUGGACCCAAAAUCGUACUAUUUACUUGCAUGGUAAAAUAUUUAAAUGAUUAGAAAAAAAAAAAAAAACAAUUUUGCACCCUCGUACUUCACCUGUCGUAGCAUGCAAAUCCUCUUGCUUUCACGGGAUUACUUUAUGUCAUCUGGAUCAGUGGAUGGGGAUAGAACAUUUAAGGACCCGCAAAAAAAAAAAAAAAAGGAAAUAUCACAACUUGUUUAGUAAUCUGAUUCUGCUGUAUAUCAUCUAAAUCUCACGAAUCAGUGUGUGCUCCGCCUAAUUCACAACAAAUCCAUAAUAGUUAAAAAAAUAUUAGUACUUGGCAGUAAAAGGGCAGGGCUUGAUUGGUUUUCUGGAUUUGUUUUUCUUGGGUCAGAGUCCAUGCUACUCAAUUGCACAGGUGGUGGUGUCGUGCACCAUGAGAUGGAAGUCUAUCUCUCUAGUUAAGCAGCUAAUGGUACUAUAAUACCGCUCAUUUAAUCUUUGGUUGGAUGAAUUACACCUGCCUAAUUGCAGAAUUAUUAAUAUUAUUGGAAGUUUUUAACUUCACCAAAAAGACUACACAUGAUUACGUAAAGACCGUCCCUUGCUUCUUUCUUUUUUUUUUUUUUUGGUGAGUGUGUGUGUGUGUGUUUUAUUAUUAUUUUUUUUUAUAUGUUUUUCAAUGCCUCGAGCUUUGGCUGUGGAGAUUUCGUGCACUUUUUUUUUUAAAGCAAGGUUUUCGGCAUCAAGCCCUAGAAAAAGGGAGAGUGGAAUUUGCGAGGAUUAUUUACUUCCCUUGCUUGGACAUGUUAAACUCUAUUAAACAUUUAUUCUUGUUCUCGAAAUCAAAUUCUUUUUAAGUAGUCAAAGCCAUGUACUGAAUUCUUCUAAAAAUUAGAAGAAAAAAAAAAAGGGAAAGAAAAGGAGCCCUGAAUUGAAGAUUGACUUGUUCUAGCAUGCAAAGUCGAUGGAAAAAACUUCGUCACUCUUACUUCAGAAAUUAUAUAACUGUGAUGUGAUUAUUCUGCACCCGUACCUACAUCAGAUUGAUCACAGCUUCACCACUCACGAGUGAGCAUUUUCUUGUGACAUGAAGUUCAAAAAAAAAAAUCAAACGACCUAUAACAAGUUAUAGCAUGUUUUUACUUUUCAGUUUCAAGUUUUCAGAAAGGCAAAGGAAGUAGCUUCAGGAAACUGGAAGUUUCUGUGACUAGUACAAAACAAUAGUAUAUAUUAGUACUGUGAUCACUAUUGCUUUUCGGAUUAGCAUGUCGCUCACCUGUUCUCUGUAUCUUGAUCAACAUCCGAACUUUCGUACUUUUUCCCCCUCUAAGAGAGAUCAAGCCAAUGCAUUUUCAAGUUUUGCUGUCCGCUUUUAAACGGGCAUCGAAAGUACAGUAUUUCUUGCAGUCACUUUUUCUAUCUUUGAGUAUGUUAAACAUGGCAAAAGGCAUAUAAUUACCAAGCAAAAGGACACGAUCAUCUUCUUUAUCUAUUAGUAGUACCUUUUGACCUUUUGCACUCCACUAGAAAAGACAUGCCUAGAGAACCACUUUCCCCAGUGGCCGAAGCCGAGCCAAGCAUAUUUUAUAGCUGGCAGUCCCAAUAAUUUACUCUUGUCUUGUGUAGAAGCAAACAAAUAUGGUGAAGAGGUCAAUGCAUUGAUUUUGCAGGAGGCAUCAACUAUCAUGCAUGGAGAUCGUACAUUUUUGCAGGCAGCCCAAGUUGGACUUGUUUAUCACGUAUUGAUUUUUCAUGUUGCCACUAAAAUGCCUAAACCCCACAAGUCCUAAUCAUACAGUAAUAGAUGAUGGGAACAUGGCUCACAUGUAUAAUAUUUGUAACUUUUGGUUAAUUCUAAUAUUACACGACUUCCCCUCGCAGUCCAGUUACAUUAGUUAAUGUUUAAUCCAUUCACAAAACAGGCAUCUUAAUCUGUGGCAACAAGUAUACUUCAUGUACGCAUAGAAAAAGGAAAAAACUGCAAAGAAAAGAGUUUCUUGGGAAACCUCUCAAUUCUAGUUUUGAAAAAUGGUACGUGAAUUGACCGAGGUUGGCUUGGGAUGUCAAUAAUUCAUCACAGACUUGUUAAUCACUUCAUAACUGAUUCUUUGAAGUAUACUAAGGAUUUCCGACAGGGGUGAGAUUAGUCACAAGAUUAUGGAAUUAAUAACUCUAAAAGCCCAGAAAAAGUCCAAGAAUCUCGCACUGAGCUUGACCAGUUUUAUAGGGGGAAAAAAAGAAGUUAAACCAAUAAUUAAAUUAUUCUCUCGGUGAAGGAUUCAUUGUGCAUGUUUAGCAUCGAAGUAGUUUGAUUCUUGAAGAAUGAUGCCAUUUCCAGUUUUCAUGAAAUUAAAUAACUUUGGAUCAGCUAAAGACAGCAAUAACACGUCGAUCGAUCAUUUCCCGGAAAACAAAAUGGACAUGGGGACUUUCAUCACUAACUAUGUACUGUCAAAAAAGGUGUACAUUUUCAUCGAAAUACACAAAAGUCCUAACCCCCACGAAUGGAGAAGCCUACUAAAGACUACUUCGAAUCAACACCAUCCGUGAUUCAUGAUCCAUCCCUUCAAAACCUUCUGACUGUACCUG
rnacentral:lncRNA from 1 species